rnacentral:rRNA from 1 species
GACGAAGGGGGCUAGCGUUGUUCGGAAUUACUGGGCGUAAAGCGAGUGUAGGCGGUUGCCCAAGUCAGGUGUGAAAGCCUUGAGCUCAACUCAAGAAAUGCACUUGGUACUGGGUGGCUAGAGGACCGGAGAGGAUAGUGGAAUUCCCAGUGUAGAGGUGAAAUUCGUAGAUAUUGGGAAGAACACCGGUGGCGAAGGCGGCAUCCUGGACCGACACUGACACUGAGGAGCGAAAGCCAGGGGAGCAAACGGG